rnacentral:tRNA from 1 species
GCCGGUGUAAUUCAAUUGGAAGAGUGCUUCCCUUGUAAUUUUGUCAGGGGGUGUAUUUUCCUAUCUCAACUGAAAGUGCAUCCCAUCCUUUCCUCCCCCUAAACAAGUUAGGAAGAUGUUACAGGUUCGAGUCCUGUCACCGGCU